UGGGGAAUAUUGGACAAUGGGCGCAAGCCUGAUCCAGCCAUGCCGCGUGAGUGAAGACGGCCUUAGGGUUGUAAAGCUCUUUCGCACGCGACGAUAAUGACGUAGCGCUAACUUCGUG
rnacentral:rRNA from 1 species